GAUGAACGCUGGCGGCGUGCUUAACACAUGCAAGUCGAACGGGAAAUACUUUAUUGAAACUUCGGUCGAUUUAAUUUAUUUCUAGUGGCGGACGGGUGAGUAACGCGUAGGUAACCUGCCUUAUACCGGGGGAUAACAGCCAGAAAUGACUGCUAAUACCGCAUAAGCGCACAGAACCGCAUGGUUCGGUGUGAAAAACUCCGGUGGUAUAAGAUGGACCCGCGUUGGAUUAGCUAGUUGGCAGGGCAGCGGCCUACCAAGGCGACGAUCCAUAGCCGGCCUGAGAGGGUGAACGGCCACAUUGGGACUGAGACACGGCCCAGACUCCUACGGGAGGCAGCAGUGGGGAAUAUUGCACAAUGGGGGAAACCCUGAUGCAGCGACGCCGCGUGAAGGAAGAAGUAUCUCGGUAUGUAAACUUCUAUCAGCAGGGAAGAUAAUGACGGUACCUGACUAAGAAGCCCCGG
rnacentral:rRNA from 1 species